rnacentral:rRNA from 1 species
ACCCUCCUAAUAGCUAGCCCCCCUCCCAAAAACAACAAACACCAUUAAUAAACCCUUAUAAACCACCCAAACAAACAACAAACCAUUUUUCCCCCCUAGUAUGGGCGACAGAAAAGGACACAUAGCGCAACAGAAAAAGUACCGCAAGGGAAAGCUGAAAGAGAAAUGAAAAAACUUAGUAAAGAGAUAAAAAGUAGAGACACCCCCUCGUACCUUUUGCAUCAUGAUUUAGCUAGUAACCCUCGAGCAAAAUGUAUUUUAGUUCGAACC